GUGAACGCUGGCGGCGUGCUUAACACAUGCAAGUCGAACGGACUUAAGGGGCUUGCUUCUUAAGUUAGUGGCGCACGGGUGAGUAAUAUAUAGCUAACCUGCCCUUUAGUGGGGGACAACAGUUGGAAACGACUGCUAAUACCCUAUACUCCUUCUUACUAUAAGGUAAGUUGGGAAAGAUUUAUCGCUAAAGGAUGGGGCUUUAUUGUAUCAGCUAGUUGGUGGGGUAAUGGCCUACCAAGGCUAUGACGCAUACCUGGUCUGAGAGGAUGAUCAGGCACACUGGAACUGAGACACGGUCCAGACUCCUACGGGAGGCGGCAGUGGGGAAUAUUGCACAAUGGAGGAAACUCUGAUGCAGCAACGCCGCGUGGAGGAUGACGCAUUUCGGUGUGUAAACUCCUUUUAUAGGGGAAGAUAAUGACGGUACCCUAUGAAUAAGCACCGGCUAACUCCGUGCCAGCAGCCGCGGUAAUACGGAGGGUGCAAGCGUUACUCGGAAUCACUGGGCGUAAAGGAUGCGUAGGCUGGAAAUCAAGUCGAGAGUGAAAUCCAACGGCUCAACCGUUGAACUGCUCUCGAAACUGGUUACCUAGAAUAUGGGAGAGGUAGAUGGAAUUAGUGGUGUAGGGGUAAAAUCCGUAGAUAUCACUAGGAAUACCGAUUGCGAAGGCGAUCUACUGGAACAUUAUGACGCUGAGGCA
rnacentral:rRNA from 1 species